UACGAAGGGGGCUAGCGUUGCUCGGAAUUACUGGGCGUAAAGCGCACGUAGGCGGCUUUCUAAGUCGGGGGUGAAAUCCUGGAGCUCAACUCCAGAACUGCCUUCGAUACUGGAAAGCUCGAGUCCGGGAGAGGUGAGUGGAACUGCGAGUGUAGAGGUGAAAUUCGUAGAUAUUCGCAAGAACACCAGUGGCGAAGGCGGCUCACUGGCCCGGUACUGACGCUGAGGUGCGAAAGCGUGGGGAGCAAAC
rnacentral:rRNA from 1 species